rnacentral:snRNA from 1 species
GGAUGUGAGGGCAAUCUGGCUGCAACAUCUGUCACCCCAUUGAUCGCCAGGGUUGAUUCAGGUAAUCUGGCUGGCUACCCCUUCCUCCCUCACCGCUCCAUGUGCGUCCAUCCCAAAGCUGCGCGCUGGGUCAAAGAGGACGACCACCUCCGCUAGAGGAGGGCUGGUCUUCGGUCAAGGGCAUAGGAGUAGCUGCGCUCCCUUGCUAGAACCUCCAAAUAAGCUCUCAAGGUCCAAUAUCCAGAACAGUGUUCGGAGCUUUGCAUAAAAAUUCUCCGGAAUCUCAUCUUGAUGUCCUAUUCCCCUCCUUAGCUUUACUUGAACUACAUCUAAAA